rnacentral:rRNA from 1 species
GUAGGGUGCGAGCGUUAAUCGGAAUUACUGGGCGUAAAGCGUGCGCAGGCGGCUUUGCAAGACAGAGGUGAAAUCCCCGGGCUCAACCUGGGAACUGCCUUUGUGACUGCAAGGCUAGAGUACGGCAGAGGGGGAUGGAAUUCCGCGUGUAGCAGUGAAAUGCGUAGAUAUGCGGAGGAACACCGAUGGCGAAGGCAAUCCCCUGGGCCUGUACUGACGCUCAUGCACGAAAGCGUGGGGAGCAAACAGGAUUAGAUACCCUGGUAGUCCACGCCCUAAACGAUGUCAACUGGGUUGUUGGACGGCUUGCUGUUCAGUAACGAAGCUAACGCGUGAAGUUGACCGCCUAGGGAGUACGGCCGCAAGGUUG